GAGGGAGGGUUUGGGCCACUCAGAGGAUUGUGGGCAAACCUGGCUACCUGGCACUCCACCAGAGCAGGUGUGGGAACAACAGGUAGUGGUGUUCCGGGGCCUCGCUUGCCCACCAAGGAGCCCCUGGCUGCCAGGCCUUCAGGGGCGUGGCCUCGAUGGUGGCCAUGUUCAGGAACAAGGAGUUGAAGCUCCUGCCCCAGGGCCUCUGGCUAGGGAAUCCUUGCCCUUCAUGCAAGAAGUCUACUUUGAUAGCUUUAAAAGGUCUCAGGUUACUGAAGUAACCUUGCCUUUGCUCAGUGUUGGCAUUAACAACACACCUCCAUGGCACCAGUAUAAACUCCACUAAAACACGUCAGAAAAUCAUCUUUGUAAAAGGCAAAGGAGUAAAACACAAAACACCUGGGAGUUUUUUGGUUUUUGUUUUUCCCCGUACCUAUCAGACGUCUGAAAUCUGCACCAGUAAAAUACUGGUCUUUUCUCGGCUUUGAGUUUUAACUGAGUUCAGGGCUGUUGGAACUUACGAAUAGUUUGAUAUCUGAACCCACAGGUAGAACUCCUCUGAUCAUUAAUAUGAACAACUAUAGUGACUAAGUAUAUCUGAAAACGCAACUAACCAGACACUAACCCAAGGAAAUUGGGUGAGACACUUGCCUUGAGAGAGGAGCCUACUCUACAGAAGGAGGAAACAAAGCACAACUGAGGACUGUAUGACAUACCUGUCAGAACUGUGAGGAGCAGCCCCCAAAGGAGGAGACACCUCUUUUCACAAAAUUCCUGUGGACCACUUGGAAGACUCUUGGGCCUCCAUGGGCCUUUUUUUCACCUGCAAAGUAUGGAGGGAGAGGCCAUGCUCCAGAGGGUGGAUGGCAUUUCUGCAGCAACAGUGCCAUUGAAGAGGAAAGGUUAAAAUUUUACAUAACCUCCUACUCCUGCCUCUGUAACUCAGCUUGCUCCUUGCAAAGUCUGGAUCACGUAGGUCUCAGAAAGUGGGGACUCACAGUACUAGGAACUGAAGCUUAUCUCACUCACCCUUGUCCUGCUGUUUGCAAUCACCCAGCCCCUGCAAACCCACAAACCCGCUUAAUCAUGCCUGUCCAUGUAUAAGAACUCUGUAACCCCUUUGUUUGGGGCUCGGAGCUUGGAAUGUUAACUCCUCUGGGUCCACCGGCAUAAUAAACCUGAGUUCUCCAACUCUGCA
rnacentral:lncRNA from 1 species